rnacentral:rRNA from 1 species
GGAUGAACGCUAGCGGCAGGCCUAACACAUGCAAGUCGAGGGAGGAGCUUUCGGGCUUCGACCGGCGUACGGGUGCGUAACGCGUAUACAAUCUGCCUUUCACAUAGGGAUAGCCCGAAGAAAUUUGGAUUAAUACCUAAUGGUAUAUAGGAGUGGCAUCACAUUUAUAUUAAAGCUGAGGCGGUGAAAGAUGAGUAUGCGUUCUAUUAGCUAGUUGGAGAGGUAACGGCUCCCCAAGGCGACGAUAGAUAGGGGUUCUGAGAGGGAUAUCCCCCACACUGGUACUGAGAUACGGACCAGACUCCUACGGGAGGCAGCAGUGAGGAAUAUUGGACAAUGGUCGGAAGACUGAUCCAGCCAUGCCGCGUGCAGGAAGACGGCCUUAUGGGUUGUAAACUGCUUUUGCAGGGGAAGAAUAAGGACUACGAGUAGUUUGAUGACGGUACUCUGCGAAUAAGCAUCGGCUAACUCCGUG